AACGAACGCUGGCGGCAGGCCGAACACAGGCGAGGCGAACGAGACGGGGGGGGCGAGGGGCGCAGGGGGGGGGAAGGAGGGGGAAGCAGCAAGGGGGGAAGGAAGAACAGAGGGAGAGGACGGCGAAGACCGGAGGAGGACGGAAGGCCAAAGAUGUAUCGCCCAAGGAUGAGCCCGCGUCCGAUUAGCUAGUUGGUGAGGUAAAGGCUCACCAAGGCGACGAUCCUUAGCUGGUCUGAGAGGAUGAUCAGCCACACUGGGACUGAGACACGGCCCAGACUCCUACGCGAGGCAGCAGUGGGGAAUAUUGGACAAUGGGCGAAAGCCUGACCCCGCAAUGCCGCGUGCGUGCUGACGGCCUUCGGGUUGUAAAGCUCUCUUACCCGGGAUGAUAAUGACAGUACCGGGAGAAUAAGCUCCGGCUAACUACGUG
rnacentral:rRNA from 1 species